GACGAACGCUGGCGGCGUGCCUAAUACAUGCAAGUAGAACGCUGAAGAGAGGAGCUUACUCUUCUUGGAUGAGUUGCGAACGGGUGAGUAACGCGUAGGUAACCUGCCUUGUAGCGGGGGAUAACUAUUGGAAACGAUAGCUAAUACCGCAUAACAAUGGAUGACACAUGUCAUUUAUUUGAAAGGGGCAAUUGCUCCACUACAAGAUGGACCUGCGUUGUAUUAGCUAGUAGGUGAGGUAAUGGCUCACCUAGGCGACGAUACAUAGCCGACCUGAGAGGGUGAUCGGGCAACACGGGACUGGGAAACGGGCCAGAAUCCUACGGGGGGCAGCAGUAGGGAAUCUUCGGCAAUGGGGGCAACCCUGACCGGGCAACGCCGCGUGAGUGAAGAAGGUUUUCGGAUCGUAAAGCUCUGUUGUAAGUCAAGAACGGGUGUGAGAGUGGAAAGUUCACACUGUGACGGUAGCUUACCAGAAAGGGACGGCUAACUACGUG
rnacentral:rRNA from 1 species